AACGAACGCUGGCGGCAUGCCUAGCACAUGCAAGUCGAACGAGAUCUUCGGGUCUAGUGGCGCACGGGUGCGUAACGCGUGGGAAUCUGCCCUUUGGUCCGGAAUAACAGUUGGAAACGACUGCUAAUACCGGAUGAUGACGAAGGUCCAAAGAUUUAUCGCCAGAGGAUGAGCCCGCGUAGGAUUAGCUAGUUGGUGUGGUAAAGGCGCACCAAGGCGACGAUCCUUAGCUGGUCUGAGAGGAUGAUCAGCCACACUGGGACUGAGACACGGCCCAGACUCCUACGGGAGGCAGCAGUGGGGAAUAUCGGACAAUGGGCGAAAGCCUGAUCCAGCAAUGCCGCGUGAGUGAUGAAGGCCUUAGGGUUGUAAAGCUCUUUUACCCGGGAUGAUAAUGACAGUACCGGGAGAAUAAGCUCCGGCUAACUCCGUGCCAGCCGCCGCCGUAA
rnacentral:rRNA from 1 species